rnacentral:ncRNA from 2 species
GUGGUAGUAGCAAAUAUUCAAAU